rnacentral:rRNA from 1 species
AUUGAACGCUGGCGGCAUGCUUUACACAUGCAAGUCGAACGGUAACAGGCCGCAAGGUGCUGACGAGUGGCGAACGGGUGGGUAAUGCAUCGGAACGUGCCCAGUCGUGGGGGAUAACUACUCGAAAGAGUAGCUAAUACCGCAUACGAUCUAUGGAUGAAAGCGGGGGACCGUAAGGCCUCGCGCGAUUGGAGCGGCCGAUGUCAGAUUAGGUAGUUGGUGGGGUAAAGGCUCACCAAGCCAACGAUCUGUAGCUGGUCUGAGAGGACGACCAGCCACACUGGGACUGAGACACGGCCCAGACUCCUACGGGAGGCAGCAGUGGGGAAUUUUGGACAAAGGGCGCAAGCCUGAUCCAGCAAUGCCGCGUGCAGGAAGAAGGCCUUCGGGUUGUAAACUGCUUUUGUACGGAACGAAACGGCUCUGGUUAAUACCCGGGGCUAAUGACGGUACCGUAAGAAUAAGCACCGGCUAACUACGUG